rnacentral:rRNA from 1 species
CAUGAAGUUGGAUUCGCUAGUAAUCGCGCAUCAGCCAUGGCGCGGUGAAUACGUUCCCGGGCCUUGUACACACCGCCCGUCAAGCCAUGGGAGCUGGGGGUGCCUGAAGUUCGUGACCGCAAGGAUCGACCUAGGGCAAAACCGGUGACUGGGGCUAAGUCGUAACAAGGUAAC